GGAGGUGGGGCUACCCUGGGGUCUUGGGCAAAGUCCUCGCCUGGCCGGCUUCGCUACCCUUGUGCUUGCGUUGCCCACAAGCUUGUAGUCAGAAGAACUCGCCUGGGAGGGAUCGCUCCUGGGAGAUCCGAACGCGGGAGGGCCUGGAGCGCGGCGGCAGCUGGAUAGCAUUCGGGCCCAUCCGAAUAAGCGUCCAAUGCCUCCAGCAGCAGAAGCUCGGCAGGUUGGUACAAAGAUAUUGCUGUGAUGAAGUUCUGAUGGUUGCACCAGGGUCUGAGGAUACACGCUGCUGGGUCUUGGCAGGUGCUGGUUUUGGAUUUUGUUUCUGCUCCACUCUAUACGAGCUGAGAGAAGUCAGUUAACCUUUUUUUUUUUCUUUCUUUUUUUUUUUUUUUUUUUUGAGACAGAGUCUCACUCUGAUGCCCAGGCUGGAGUGCAGUGGCGUGAUCUCAGCUCACUGCAACCUCUGCCCCCCGGGUUCAAGCCAUUCUCCUGCCUCAGCCUCCCGAGUAUCUGGGAUUACAGGCACGCACCACCAUGCCCAGCUAAUUUUUGUACUUUAGUAGAGGGAGGGUUUCACCAUGUUGGCCUGGCUGGUCUCGAACUCCUGACCCCAGACGAUCUGCCUGCCUCAGCCUCCCAAAAUGCUGGGAUUAUAGGUGUGAGCCAUCAUGCCCGGCAGUUAACUUAUUUGAGUCUCAGCUUCUUGGGUCUCAACAGUACAUGGCACUUGUCAUUGUGGGGCUGGUGGUUUAUCCUUCAUCAGAACCUGAGUCUAUCCAGAAAUGAUUGAAAAUUCAAGAUACAGGGGCAAGCAGGUAGGAGGUGAAAAUUCAAGAUACAGGCCAGGCAGUGGCUCACACUUGUAAUCCCAGCAUUUUGCGAGACCAAAGUGGGAGGAGUGGUUGGGGCCAGGAGUUUGACACCAGCCUGGACAACACAGCAAGAUGCUGUCUCUAUAAAAAAUUUAAAAAUUAGCUGGGCAUCAUGGCACAUGCUUGUAAUCCUAGCUACUUGAGAGGCUGAGGCAGAAGGAUCGCUUGAGACCAGGAGUUUGAGGGUGCAGUGAACUAUGAUGGCGCCACCACACUCCAGCCUGGGAGACAGAGUGAGACCCUGUCUCUAAAAGAAAAAAGAAAAUUCAAGAUACAGAGCCAGACAGGUAACAAGGACAGGUGAAGGUGGCUGAGUAGGGUCCACACUGAACUAGACAGUGCCUUUCAUCCCCAUCCUCCCCACCCCCAAUUUAACUUACACACAGUCAGUCCCAAGAAAGCUUGUUGAAUGAAUGAAUGGAUUUCUAAAUAAUUCCCUAAAGGGGAAUAUCUAAGCCUAAAAACUUUCCCCUGCUCUCAAUGCCACUUAAUUCUGUUUUAUAAUCAUUUCUUUCUUUCCUGCAGGAGCCUGGAUGGCCAUCUUUCUUCUGAUAGCAAUAAGCUGGAUGCUGGGAUAGAAGCCUGAUACCUCCUCCAACCCUAGUCCUUGGCCUCUAGUUUACUCGCCUGAGGCAAGGGUAGAGUGGAGGAAGAUUUAGGGAAAGCAAGUAGUCCGUUUUAUUGUUACGGACCAGAGAGGUUGGGGGUGCAGAUGAAACCAACAUCUGGUUGGCCGGGCACGGUGGCUCACACCUGUAAUCCCAGCACUUUGGGAGGCCGAGGCGGGCGGAUCAUGAAGUCAGGAGAUCGAGACCAUCCUAGCUAACACGGUGAAACCCCGUCUCUACUAAAAACACAAAAAAUUUGCCGGGCGUGGUGGCGGGAGCCUGUAGUCUCAGUUACUCAGGAGGCUGAGACAGGAGAAUGGCAUGAACCCGGGAGGCAGAGGUUGCAGUGAGCCGAGAUCGCGCCACUGCACUCCAGCCUGGGUGACAGAGCGAGACUCCAUCUCAAAAAAAAUAAAUAAAUAAAAAUAAAAAAAAUAAAAAAUAAAAAAUUCAUUUGCAGGAACAUUUUGUUGUCUUUAAUGCCUUAACAGCUCCUGAAAAAAAUCAUGUCAAAUGAUCAAUCCAUGUUAUUUUUUCAUGCACAUCAAAGUCACACAUUUAUUAAAUCAGCAA
rnacentral:lncRNA from 1 species